AACGAACGCUGGCGGCAUGCCUAACACAUGCAAGUCGAACGACACCUUCGGGUCUAGUAGCUCAUGGCUGCUUACCGCGUGGGGACCUUCCCUUAGGUUCGUAAUAACUCCCCGAAAGGGGUGCUAAUACCGGAUAAUUUCUUCCGCCCAAAGAUUUCUCGCCAUUGGAUGGGCCCUCGUUGCAUUACCUAGUUGGUAGGGUAAAAGCCUACCAAGGCGACGAUCCAUAGAUGGUCAGAGAGGCUGAUCAGCCACACUCGGACUGGGACCCGGCCCAGAAUUCUACGGGAGGGAGGAGUGGGGAAUAUUGGAAAAUGGGCGGAAGGCAGAUGGAGCAAUGCCGGGUGAGUGAUGAAGGCCUUAAAGUUGUAAAGCGCUUUUACCCGGGAUGAUAAUGACAGUACCGGGAGAAUAAGCUCCGGCUAACUCCGUG
rnacentral:rRNA from 1 species